GAUGAACGCUGGCGGCGUGCCUAAUACAUGCAAGUCGAGCGAACAGACGAGGAGCUUGCUCCUCUGACGUUAGCGGCGGACGGGUGAGUAACACGUGGAUAACCUACCUAUAAGACUGGGAUAACUUCGGGAAACCGGAGCUAAUACCGGAUAAUAUAUUGAACCGCAUGGUUCAAUAGUGAAAGACGGUUUUGCUGUCACUUAUAGAUGGAUCCGCGCCGCAUUAGCUAGUUGGUAAGGUAACGGCUUACCAAGGCAACGAUGCGUAGCCGACCUGAGAGGGUGAUAGGCCACACUGGAACUGAGACACGGUCCAGAGUCCUACGGGAGGCAGCAGUAGGGAAUCUUCCGCAAUGGGCGAAAGCCUGACGGAGCAACGCCGCGUGAGUGAUGAAGGUCUUCGGAUCGUAAAACUCUGUUAUGAGGGAAGAACAAAUGUGUAAGUAACUAUGCACGUCUUGACGGUACCUAAUCAGAAAGCCACGGCUAACUACGUG
rnacentral:rRNA from 1 species